UGGGUUCAGAACGUCGUGAGACAGUUCGGUCCCUAUCUUUCGUAGGCGUAGGAGAUUUGCGAGGCGCUGUCCCUAGUACGAGAGGACCGGGAUGGACAGACCUCUAGUGCACCAGUUGUCCUGCCAAGGGCAAAGGCUGGGUAGCUAGGUCUGGAUCAGAUAACCGCUGAAAGCAUCUAAGCGGGAAACUGACCUCAAGAUAAGAUCUCCCGUUCCGUAGCAAUACGGAACUAAGACUCGUUGUAGACUACAACGUUGAUAGGCGGAAGGUGUAAGUCCUGUAAGGGAUUCAGCCGAUCCGUACUAAUCGGUCGAGCGGCUUGACCAU
rnacentral:rRNA from 1 species